CAAACAUGCCUCUGUGACCUGAGGCUCUUCCUGCUGCCUGGAACGUUCCUCUUGGGCUGAAGUGAGACCAACUUCUUAUUCUUCAGGUGAUGAUGGACAAGUCCCUUAAGCCUUCUGAUCAGCAGCUUCUUGAACUCUAAAAUGGGAAAUCUAAUAUUAAUGAUAUCCUACAACAUGGACUGUUGUGAAAACUAAUAAAGACAAAGCCUUCUCAAGCACUAUGAAGCAUUCAGUGCUAAGUACAAUGAAAAUAAUGUGGCCAGAGGCCUCGGGCCUGUGCCAGAUGGAACCAGCUUUGGCCACUCUUUCCCAUACUGCUGCUCCCAGCUGACAGAGGUUUGGCUGAAGAUUCUGCAAGGACCCGUGCAUCAGUAUUCCCACAAGGAGCUGCAGGGCACACACAAGUGUGUGCUGAGAAAGCCCCCAAGAAAGAUGGAACCCACGUGGGGGCAUUGCUAAUGCUGUCCCAGAAAACAAGCCCAGGGAUUUUCCCAGCUCUAUACAUUGCUUUGUGUUUAUCAGUGCUUUGACCAGCAGCUAUUCAUUUGUGAUAUGAAACUCUUAAAAUAAAAUCUUUUUUAUUUUA
rnacentral:lncRNA from 10 species